GACGAACGCUGGCGGCGUGCUUUAUACAUGCAAGUCGAACGAUGAAGUUCCUUCGGGAAUGAAUUAGUGGCGAACGGGUGAGGAACACGUGAGAAACCUGCCUUUCAUUCUGGGAUAACACCGGGAAACCGGUGCUAAUACCGGAUACUCCGUCUUGGCGGCAUCGCCGAGCCGGGAAAAAAUUUUGAUGAAAGAUGGUCUCGCGGCCUAUCAGCUAGUUGGUGAGGUAAUGGCUCACCAAGGCGACGACGGGUAGCCGGCCUGAGAGGGCGACCGGCCACACUGGGACUGAGACACGGCCCAGACUCCUACGGGAGGCAGCAGUAGGGAAUAUUGGGCAAUGGGCGCAAGCCUGACCCAGCGACGCCGCGUGAGGGAUGAAGGUCUUCGGAUUGUAAACCUCUUUCAGUAGGGAAGAAGCGAAAGUGACGGUACCUAAAGAAGAAGCACCGGCUAACUAUGUGCCAGCAGCCGCCGUAA
rnacentral:rRNA from 1 species